rnacentral:rRNA from 1 species
GACGAACGCUGGCGGCGUGCCUAAUACAUGCAAGUAGAACGCUGAAGAGAGGAGCUUGCUCUUCUUGGAUGAGUUGCGAACGGGUGAGUAACGCGUAGGUAACCUGCCUUGUAGCGGGGGAUAACUAUUGGAAACGAUAGCUAAUACCGCAUAACAAUGGAUGACACAUGUCAUUUAUUUGAAAGGGGCAAUUGCUCCACUACAAGAUGGACCUGCGUUGUAUUAGCUAGUAGGUGAGGUAAUGGCUCACCUAGGCGACGAUACAUAGCCGACCUGAGAGGGUGAUCGGCCACACUGGGACUAAGACACGGCCCAGACUCCUACGGGAGGCAGCAGUAGGGAAUCUUCGGCAAUGGGGGCAACCCUGACCGAGCAACGCCGCGUGAGUGAAGAAGGGUUUCGGAUCGUAAAGCUCUGUUGUAAGUCAAGAACGGGUGUGAGAGUGGAAAGUUCACACUGUGACGGUAGCUUACCAGAAAGGGACGGCUAACUACGUG